rnacentral:rRNA from 1 species
GUGAAAUUGUUGAAAGGGAAGCGCUUGCAAUCAGACUUGCACGCAGUUGAUCAUCCGGUGUUCUCACCGGUGCACUCUGCUGCGUUCAGGCCAGCAUCAGUUUCGGUGGUUGGAUAAAGACCAGAGGAAUGUGGCUCCCUUCGGGGAGUGUUAUAGCCUCUGGUGCAAUGCAGCCUACUGGGACUGAGGACCGCGCUUCGGCUAGGAUGCUGGCGUAAUGGUUGUAAGCGACCCGUCUUGAAACACGGACCAAGGAGUC